UGGUUCUGGCAUCGAUGAAGAACGCAGCGAAAUGCGAUAAGUAAUGUGAAUUGCAGAAUUCAGUGAAUCAUCGAAUCUUUGAACGCACAUUGCACCCUUUGGUAUUCCAAGGGGUAUGCCUGUUCGAGCGUCAUUGCACCAUCAAGCCCUGCUUGGUAUUGGAUGCCACCUUUAUGGUGCGUCUUAAAAUUAUUGGGCAGUGGCAUUUAGCUUCUAGUGUAGUACUUCUUCUCACUUUGGAGCUUAAAUGCUAACUGCUUUGCAAACUUAUGAUUUCAAGAGUUGACCUCGGAUCAGGUAGGGAUACCCGCUGA
rnacentral:misc_RNA from 1 species